rnacentral:misc_RNA from 1 species
UUCAUCUUCGUCGUCAUCAUCAUAAUCAUUUGCAGGUAAACUAUAUGUGCUAUAAUCACUUGAUGAAGAAUCCAUGAAAAGUUGACUGGAUGAACUAGGCAUAUCUAGAUUUGGAGUUCCAUGCUCAGGUAAAUUUUGGCUUAAGCCAGAAGACUUAGUAUGCAAUGAAUCCUGAACAGGACCCCUUAACCUAGUACUCACAUUCAUUGACCUGCGGGUCCGAACUGAUACAGCACGAUUACCGUCACUGAAAUCCGAGCUUCUACUACUCCUUGAAUCAGAGAUGGAGAUUCCAGUAGCAGGACGAACUGCACGCCCUUCAUUUGGCGAUGCACCACUCAUUUUUUUCCCUUUAGAUGAUGAACUGCUUUCACCUUCAGUAUUUCUCCUUUUUACUGUUUCCCUUCGACUAAUACUUGAUUCUGAUGAUGAAGAACUAUAUGGGAGGACAUCAGGUGUGGAAUUGCACUUCAGAUUUCUCAACCUGUAUCCCUCUCCACUACUACUGCUCCUUGUCCCAGCACUAAUGGAUUUAGACGACGAAGAAAUAGAGGAAUUCAUUGGACUCUUUUGGUUGGAAGAACCAGGUCCAUGACCAAAUAUUUUUCGAGGUCUACUGUUCGAUGUUCCACUAGAGCAACCAACUUCUGUAAAUACAACUUUGCUGGAUCCAGUAUCUCUCUUUGCUGAAUCAAAUUGGAAUUGACGCUCCGUUGAUGACUGCAUCUGUUUUAAAACUUGUGACUCUUUACGUAAGGAACUGGUAUCUGAUCGCUUAUCUUCAAUGUUAGAAGAGUACUUCUUGUGAGAUUCCUUGCCUGACCUUCUUGCAGUAGUCAUUCCAGAGGAUGUCACAGAUGAACUCCCAACUACUUCCUUUCCGUUUGAUGAACCGAAAGUAGGCCUUAGUGGUCUCGGUUUCUCCAUGCCUCCAACUCUGGUACUCUUAGUAUAAUUGACCCGGCCACUACAUCCAAGUCUAGAACAAUACUGAACAUUUUUAUCUUUGUUUUCAGCAGUGUCCCUUAAACCUCUUCUGGCGGCGACAAGCCCAUUCCCAGCUCUUUUAACAGGAUAUUCAUCCAUGUCUUACACGAAGCACCAUUUAUAUCUUUUUCUCUUCUGUUUUCGUUGUUUUCUUCUUCUUUAUCCCAAAGAAAAAAAAUCCCUUUUUCACGAGAGAGAUUAUAGGAUCG